CUUGAAUCUCUGAACACAGCAUCUCCGAGUGACCACCAGCUUCCAAAAUUUGUGGUUAUUCCAGAGGUUUUUUUUUUUUCUUUCUGUCAAGACGCAUCAAGCGAAGGCGGACGAGUAACGAGAACGGAUUCUCGGGCUUGCACCCAUGGGGGAAGCUGAAGCCAGCUGACUGGAGGUGGAGGGCAGUCAACACCCCGGACGGGUCGGCAGACAAUCUCAUAGUCAACAGGUUCGAGAGCUCCUGCAAGAGGUGGUCUUGACCUCAACAGUGUGAACGCCAACCAGAGGGCAAACGGACAUUUUUCACAACCCUAUCAAUCGAUUCAGACCGGAGAGGGCGAACCCCAGAGAUGUCCUUCCAGUAUGCCGCAUGCAACGAAGAUCCUCAAAUGAAUCAAUUUAGCUCACAGUUUACGCUUCAGCGCCAUUGCAACACUCAAGAUGCUUCACUGCUGCCUUUGAGUUGUGAAGAACUGGAUUCCUGCAUCGAGAUAAACAACAAGAAGAUGUUAUUAUUCCUGGACCGCAGCAAUAACUCAAUCAUGGUCCCGCUUGGCUGUCAGCAAAUGUUAUUGCUUUCAAGCCUCACAUUGGUGCUCUCCUCCAAGUUUUGAGGCCCCGUUUCAGCAGGUGGCAAUGUGUCUUGCCUCCAGGAGGCACUCUGUCUCUGCACUGAAUGAAGUUUUCUGAGCAGAACGAUAGUGAGGUGCAACAGUACUGCCUUAUGUGAAAUCUGUGGCUUUGUAUAGACACAGUCAGAAUGGCAUUUCAAGUAGUUUUUUCGGCCAAAGACCGCAAGCCAAUUAAUCAGCAUUUCAAUUCUAUUGAUUUUGAUUGACUUUAAGCUGGGGUUUUUUCUGUCUCAAUUGAUGUAGAAGUGAUACCAUUCUGACCGCAUUUUACUGUUCUACAACAUUUUCUUUUUAUUAAAUCAUAUAUGUUAGCCUAAAAUGAAAAGGGAAAAAAACCAGGAACCCUGUUUGAUAUUAUUUUAAAUAUAACAAACGUUCUUGUGUACGCGUCCAAAAUAUCAUCCGUGCUCGCUCGCCGAGUAAACGAAUCUUUUAUCUCGGCAGCCAAGUGAAAGCCUGCCAGCGUAAACAAAAGGCCCGCGCCGGAACCACCAUGCACCAACAUGUUUGUGCGACUUCUCGUUAAAUACGACGCUCCACUAAACAGCGCGACUGAAAAGCCUUGUUUGAGGCUUUUUGUACCAGAAUUAUCAGCAAAGGUGUGUGGGUGUUUGUUUCGUGUCUUGUUCAUCCAACCGCGAUGUGUGUUUAUCAUUCCGGACGACGUUGUAUGGUACGACGUUUCAUGCCUGUCCACCUGGCACGUCAAGAAGACGACUUUUGAGUUGCCAGGAAUUAGUUAGUCACAGUGAUUAAGCAGACAUCGUAUUUGUAAAUAGACAAGAGCAAGUAUGGAAUGAAUGACUGGAUUGAUACAUGGAUGGAUGGACUGGAUAGACUGAUACAAGAUACUGAUCUUGUCAAGGAUGGAUGUGGAAGUAGACUAAUCGCUGCACUGUUAAGUUUGUUAGAUGGCUGUUUGGACUGUUGGAUGAACUUGGAGUCCGAUUGAUGCCUGGACGCAGUGAAUGAUGAAUUCGUAUGUAGAUAGACAUGGUUAGAUGUAGUUGGGGAUGAAAUUAGAGCUAGACUAAUGGCUGGACUGAAGGAAUGUUGGAUGGAUUUGUAGCCAGACUAAUGGCUGGACCGAGUGAAAGAUGAACUUGGAGAGAGACUAGUGUCUGGAUCUUGUGAAAGAUGGAUGUGGAGGAAGACUAAUUGCUGGACUCCUUGCUUGUUAGAUGGCUGUUUAAACUGUUGGACGAACUUAAAGACAAAUUGAUGCCUGGAUGCAGUGAAGCCUGGUUGAGAGGGUUGUUGUAAAAGAUGAACAUAGAGACAGACUAAUGGCUGGACAUAGUAAGGAGACAAACCGGACUGGUAGCCUGUUGGACUGAUGCGGUGUGGGAUGGAUGUUUGGACUGUUGGAUGAAGUUGGAGCUAGACUUAUGGCUACACAUAGUGAAGGAUGAACUGUCGAAUGGAUGUUUGGAAUAUUGGAUGAUCGAGACAGACUAAUGGCAGGACACAGCGUUGGAUGGUCAGGACAGACUAAUGGGUGAAGCGUGAGGACGCAAGGAAGCGAAAUUCUUUUUAGCGGCAUUCUCUCAGAGAACAGCAAUGGACGGGUUGGUCCAGCACGUUGUCAUUAGCUCGCUCAGAACAAGGAGAAAAUGAGGGGUUGUCAUGAGGAGUAGGAGAGGCGGUCUUUGUUACUAUUUUCGACGUGCGUCCUUCCAACUCAGAGCACAAAAAAGUCAAAUGAAGUGACGGCCAGUUGUGUCUGGUGUUCAUGUCUAAAUUAGCUGUCAUGUGUGAUUAGUCAUCACGUUUCAACCUCUUCAUCGCCUUGGUAUUUGGAGAUGCAAAGUCAAACAAUUGUUUGAACACACAGUAUAUUAUGAACAUGCUUGUCUUUUUAAUUAAUUGUCUGCCGGUCACACCACAAAUAGCAACGUUUCAGUGUGUAUUAAAGGGACAGGAUGCAAGAAGUGCAUUAUUAUUAUUAUUGCUGUUGUUGUUGUCAUUGUCAUUGUUAAAGAUUUUAAUGUAUUGUAUGUACAGUAUGUGUAUGCAACACGCUGUAUAACAUGCCAAUUUUCCAAGAGGGCUCUUCCCACAUAAACCCUCACACUCGUGAAAGAUCCCCUCCCGUGCCCCUAAUUAUCGCAAUAAUAAUAUUAAUAAAUACAUUGAAGUACAAUUGAUAUAAGAAUACAAAUGAUAAUAAUUUAGUAACUAAUCAUCUUAGUAAUGAUGAUCAUAUAUAAUUGAAAACAUAUAAUGUAUUGUACUUAUGAACCAUCGAGGGAAAAUAAUAACAGUAAUGAUAAUAACUAUAAUAAUACAAACGUGCUAAUGAAUAUUAUUGAUGCUAUAUAAUAACAGAAACAUGGCAAUAAUAAUACUAGUAAAGAUAUUAAAUAUUAUAUAACAUAUAAUAAUAAAAAAAUACUAAUAUAACAUGAUUAAGUAAAACAACAACAACAGUGUAAAAUAGUUUUUCAACUCCCAGACUUGAACAACGGGAAUUCACAGCAAGUAUCAAAAUAAUUUGAUUAAUGAAUAUAUAACAUAUAUAUUGGGGCCUCAGUAGUUUAUAUGUGUACGUUGGCUUUCGAGCCAGAGGACACAAGUUCAAGUCCCGCUGUGGACAAAAAUGUCAAGAUGGCAACUAGUUGUAAGAGAGAUGCUAAUCUCCUUGGAAAGCCGCAGUGGAGGUGCCCUUGAGCAAGGCACCAUCCUCAUAUGCCGCUCCCCUUGCAUACAUUCACGUGUGUGAUUUCAUUCUGUGUGGUGUGCAACACCAAAUAUAUACAGCAGAGUGUAAGUUCGAUUUCCCCUCGGGGGAUUUCACGAGUUCCAAAAAUUCAAUUCCUUGCUGUCUGCACAGGUACUUCCAAGCAACAAGGUUGCCAUGGCCACUGCAUGAUGAGGUAACAACGCUACAGAUGAGCUUGUUGCAAAAUUAAACGUUUGAAUCCCAGAGCAUAUUUGGUCGGAGUGGUGACCGCUGUUUUACCGCUGUUAUCGUGUAUAUUACACGUACGCUCCAGUACCGUGAUAUAAAACAAGCAGUAUGUGAUUCUCUGUAGUGUGUUUUUUUUUAUGUCCUAAAUGAAUAUUUUGUCACAGUGGCGUCUGUUGUUGUACUAGAGUGGCACCAACUACCCUUGACAAAUUCCUUGUGUUUUUGACAUACUUGGCUAAUAGGUAAGUACGAGUGCAAUUCACUAUGCAAAUAGUACAAUAUUGUUACUUUGUCCAUGUGAGGAAUUGCAUGUGAUGCUUUUAAAAACAUAAAAACGCCUAUAUCGCCCUCUGCUGGUGCGUAUGCUGAAAAUAGUGUGUUAAAUACGGCUUCUUUUAAAUAAAAGCCACUCACUCAUGUCACGUUGCAUUUUAAAGAAUAUUCUCAUCUUUUUUUUUUUUUUACUAAAUAAUACAAUAAUCAUUAAAAGAAAGACACGUUUCUGCGUGAUAGAGAACUAGAUUAUCUUGAGGCCAAUGGCUGUUUCAAUUUGAAAUACACAUAAGCCACAUCCUGCUUUGUU